rnacentral:rRNA from 1 species
UCCUACGGGAGGCAGCAGUGGGGAAUUUUGGACAAUGGGCGCAAGCCUGAUCCAGCAAUGCCGCGUGAGUGAAGAAGGCCUUCGGGUUGUAAAGCUCUUUCAGUUGAGAAGAAAAGAUUGUGACUAAUAAUCGCAAUUCAUGACG